rnacentral:rRNA from 1 species
AUGCACAGUGUGGCAAAAAUUCUUUGCAAAAUCAUGGCCAAUAGGCUAGCUCCGGAGUUGCAACACAUGAUUUCUGCUAGCCAAAGUGCUUUCCUCAAGGGGCGUAGCAUCCAAGAUAACUUCCUGUUUGUCCAGAAUGUCAUUAGGAGGGCCUUCACAAGAAACUCACCGCUCAUUUUUCUUAAGCUGGAUAUUGCCAAAGCGUUUGACUCCGUGCAUUGGAGCUACAUGUUGGAAGUUUCGAAAGGUUUUGGCUUUGGGCAGAGGUGGACUGACAUGAUCGCGUUGCUGCUCUCCACGUCCUCUUCCAGGGUCCUUCUCAAUGGAUGUCCGGGCAUGCCGUUUCUGCACCGAAGAGGGCUGCGGCAGGGUGACCCCCUUUCACCCAUGUUGUUCAUUCUUGCAAUGGAGCCGCUGCAAAAGCUGAUAGCCUUGGCAAUGGUGGAAGGGCUGCUCACCCCUAUAAGCCAGCAGCCGGCAUCAUUGAGAACCAGCCUGUAUGCCGAUGACGCAGCUCUGUUUGUUAACCCCAUCAGAGAUGAGAUUGCUGCUAUUCAAAAAAUUCUGAUCCGUUUUGGAGAGAUUUCCGGCUUGAUGAUCAACUUUGGAAAGUGCACAACAUACAAGAUUCGGUGCAAUGUCGAGGAACAUGGUGAAGUUCUGCAAGAUUUUGGAGGAAAAGAGGACUCGCUCCGUUGCAAAUACCUGGGCCUUCCUUUGCACACGAGGAAGCCAAAACGUGCUGAAUUGCAACCACUCGUAGACAAGGCUGCUGGAAGAGUAAAACCGUGGAAAGGAAAGCUUCUAAACAGAACGGGGCGCCUAACUCUAAUUAACUCGGUCCUCACGGCAAUCACAACUUUCUUCCUCACUUGUUUUGCAAUGGAUAAGUGGGCCAUCAAAAAGCUAGACAAAUAUAGAAGAAACUUUCUUUGGGCUGGGGAUGAGGAGGCAAGCGGAAGUAAAUGCUUGGUAAAUUGGAAACAAUGUUGCUCCCUGAAAAGUCUCAGUGGCCUCGGAAUCAAAGAGCUAACCUGUUAUAGCAGAGCUUUGAGACUCAGAUGGUGUUGGUUUGAAUGGGAUGACACUGACAGACCUUGGAGAGGUUCCCAAAUUCCGUGCGCUGCAAUAGACAGAGACCUUUUCUCCUCCUGCACCAAGAUCAUUUUGGGGAACGGACAAAAGGCAAAUUUCUGGAAAGACAAAGUGGCUGCAUGGGGUUGCACCCAUUGA